rnacentral:rRNA from 1 species
GACGAACGCUGGCGGCGUGCUUAACACAUGCAAGUCGAACGAUGAAGAAGAGAAACGCGAACUUCGGUUCAAAUUUCACUUCGGAUUAGUGGCAGACGGGUGAGUAACGCGUGAGCAACCUACCUCUUACAAAGGGAUAGCCUCGGGAAACCGUGAUUAAUACCAUAUGACACAUUCAUAAGGCAUCUUAAGAAUGUUAAAGCUACGGCGGUAAGAGAUGGGCUCGCGUCCCAUUAGCUAGUUGGUGAGGUAACGGCCCACCAAGGCGACGAUGGGUAACCGGCCUGAGAGGGUGAACGGUCACAUUGGAACUGAGACACGGUCCAAACUCCUACGGGAGGCAGCAGUGGGGAAUAUUGCACAAUGGAGGGAACUCUGAUGCAGCGACGCCGCGUGAGCGAUGAAGGAAUUAGUUUCGUAAAGCUCUGUUCUAUGGGAAGAAAAGGACUGUACCAUAGGAGAAAGCCCCGGCUAAAUACGUG